ACGGCUGGUGGCGCACUUCCUGAUGUCGGGCGGUGUAUAACAGCUGUAAUAAGCCAAAAAGAUACCCGGCCCGCCUGUCAAGCGGGCUUUUUUUU
rnacentral:sRNA from 1 species